CCCGAACUAAGGAGACACAGAUUGCGCCAAAAUAGGAGACGACUGGGUGGAGGAGAGUGGGUCAGCUUCGGCGUCAGCAGCCCUGGAACCCCUUGGGACUCAAGAGUAUGGUUUCUGAUCCUAGAAGCUUUCAUAGCGGGGAAAGGAUGGUUCUGUUCUGACGUGAGCUGGUGCUCUGUGGAGUGGUCUAGCGCCAUCCUUGGAGAGCUGUACGCAAUGUGGGAAGCAAUCAGCGGACACAAAUCUGAUGAUGGGCCUGGAGAUCAUGUGAGAAGAGACACAAUUCAAGCACCGAGAACACUUCUGCGAUUCUUCAGGGCCUCUAAAGCCUCCGGACCCUCCCUCUCAGACACUUGCCAUCAUGCACUCGGCCAUCCCCACCUUAUUUAUGAGAAGAAUGCCAGUGAGAACAUGGAGUGGGGGCAGCA